rnacentral:rRNA from 1 species
GACGAACGCUGGCGGCGUGCCUAACACAUGCAAGUCGAACGGGGUGGUUCCUUCGGGGAUCACUUAGUGGCGAACGGGUGAGUAACGCGUGAGAAACCUGCCUUUCAGUGGGGGACAACAGUUGGAAACGACUGCUAAUACCGCAUAAUGUUAUCGAGCGGCAUCGCUUGAUAACCAAAGCUUUAUGUGCUGAAAGAUGGUCUCGCGUCUGAUUAGCUAGUUGGUGAGGUAACGGCUCACCAAGGCGACGAUCAGUAGCCGGUCUGAGAGGAUGAACGGCCACAUUGGGACUGAGAUACGGCCCAAACUCCUACGGGAGGCAGCAGUGGGGAAUAUUGGGCAAUGGGCGCAAGCCUGACCCAGCAACGCCGCGUGAGGGAAGAAGGUCUUCGGAUUGUAAACCUAAGUUGUCAGGGACGAAACAUGACGGUACCUGAAGAGAAAGCUCCGGCUAACUACGUG